CGAAGGUGGCGAGCGUUACUCGGAAUUACUAGGCGUAAAGCGUGGGCAGGUGGUUCGGUAAGUCUGUUGUGAAAGCUCCCGGCUCAACUGGGAGAGGCCAAUGGAAACUGCCGGACUUGAAUCGAGGAGAGGUCACUGGAAUUCCUGGUGUAGCGGUGAAAUGCGUAGAGAUCAGGAGGAACACCAAUGGCGAAAGCGCGUGACUGGGCCAUAACUGACGCUGAGGAACGAAAGCCAGGGUAGCGAAAGGGA
rnacentral:rRNA from 1 species